rnacentral:lncRNA from 1 species
CGUCCAGAAUAGUGUUCUUUUAUUCUCACCAUCACACAAUACAAAAUGUCUCAGAAGUUCACAACAUUACAAAGUUGAAUCAAGAGCCUAUGAUACUCUUGUGCAUCAUCAAUUCAUCAUGUUACUUUCACACAAAUAUAACAAAUCCGCUUAGGCGCUCUAAUAGUGAAAGGAGCUAUAGCCUCAAGCUUUGGCAAGUUUGAGAAUUGUUGCUGUUGUCUCCGGUGAGAUACAAUAAGAUAUGAUUCUAGAAUGUAAACUUGAUGUCUAUACCACUCUAAAUAUAAGUAUUGUUUAUUUAAAUUCAUUCAAGUAUGUUUUUUUUUUGAAUUGAAUGUAAAAUU